rnacentral:rRNA from 1 species
GAAUUCGGCUUAGAGUUUGAUCCUGGCUCAGAGCGAACGCUGGCGGCAGGCCUAACACAUGCAAGUCGAGCGGCCGUAGCAAUACGGCAGCGGCAGACGGGAGAGUAACACGUGGGAACGCGCCCUUCGGUUCGGAAUAACUCAGGGAAACUUGGGCUAAUACCGGAUACGCCCUUACGGGGAAAGAUUUAUUGCCGAAGGAACGGCCCGCGUCCGAUUAGCUUGUUGGUGAGGUAACGGCUCACCAAGGCGACGAUCGGUAGCUGGUCUGAGAGGAUGACCAGCCUCACUGGGACUGAGACACGGCCCAGACUCCUACGGGAGGCAGCAGUGGGGAAUAUUGGACAAUGGGCGCAAGCCUGAUCCAGCCAUGCCGCGUGGGUGAUGAAGGCCCUAGGGUUGUAAAGCCCUUUCAGCGGGGAAGAUAAUGACGGUACCCGCAGAAGAAGCCCCGGCUAACUUCGUGCCAGCAGCCGCGGUAAUACGAAGGGGGCUAGCGUUGCUCGGAAUUACUGGGCGUAAAGCGCACGUAGGCGGAUUG